rnacentral:rRNA from 1 species
CCUACGUGGCAGCAGUGAGGAAUAUCGGUCAAUGGGCGCGAGCCUGAAACAGCCAAGUCGCGUGAGGGAAGACGGUCCUAUGGAUUGUAAACCUCUUUUGUCGGGGAGCAAAAGACGCCACGCGUGGCGUUCCGUGAGUACGCGAAGAAAAAGCAUCGGCUAACUCCGUGCCAGCAGCCGCGGUAGUACGGAGGAUGCGAGCGUUAUGCGGAUUUAUUGGGUUAAAAGGGUGCGCAGGCGGAAGAUCAAGUGGUCGGUAAAAUUGAGAGGCUCAACCUCUUCGAGCCGUUGAAACUGGUUUUCUUGAGUGAGUUAGAGGUAUGCGGAAUGCGUGGUGUAGCGGUGAAAUGCAUAGAUAUCACGCAGAACUCCGAUUGCGAAGGCAGCAUACCGGCGCUCAACUGACGCUCAUGCACGAAAGUGUGGGUAUCGAACAGGAUUAGAUACCCCGGUAGUC